rnacentral:rRNA from 1 species
CCUACGGGUGGCAGCAGUAGGGAAUCUUCGGCAAUGGGGGGAACCCUGACCGAGCAACGCCGCGUGAGUGAAGAAGGUUUUCGGAUCGUACAGCUCUGUUGUAAGAGAAGAACGGGUGUGAGCGUGGAAAGUUCACACUGUGACGGUAUCUUACCAGAAAGGGACGGCUAACUACGUGCCAGCAGCCGCGGUAAUACGUAGGUCCCGAGCGUUGUCCGGAUUUAUUGGGCGUAAAGCGAGCGCAGGCGGUUCGAUAGGUCUGAAGUUAAAGGCUGUGGCUUAACCAUAGUAUGCUUUGGAAACUGUUUAACUGGAGUGCAGAAGGGGAGAGUGGAAUUCCAUGUGUCGCGGUGACAUGCGUAGAUAUAUGGAGGAACACCGGUGGCGAAAGCGGCUCUCUGGUCUGUAACUGACGCUGAGGCUCGAAAGCGUGGGGAGCAUACAGGAUUAGAUACCCUAGUAGUC